AUACGGGGGGUGCAAGCGUUGUUCGGAAUCAUUGGGCGUAAAGCGCGCGCAGGCGGCCAGGUAUGUCGGAUGUGAAAGCCCUCGGCUCAACCGAGGAACUGCGUUCGAAACUGCCUGGCUUGAGUUCGGGAGGGGGAAGCGGAAUUCCCGGUGUAGAGGUGAAAUUCGUAGAUAUCGGGAGGAACACCAGUGGCGAAGGCGGCUUCCUGGACCGAAACUGACGCUGAGGCGCGAAAGCGUGGGGAGCAAACAGGAUUAGAAACCCUAGUAGUCC
rnacentral:rRNA from 1 species